AUUGAACGCUGGCGGCAUGCCUUACACAUGCAAGUCGAACGGCAGCACGGGAGCAAUCCUGGUGGCGAGUGGCGAACGGGUGAGUAAUAUAUCGGAACGUGCCCAGUCGUGGGGGAUAACUACUCGAAAGAGUAGCUAAUACCGCAUACGAUCUACGGAUGAAAGCGGGGGAUCGCAAGACCUCGCGCGAUUGGAGCGGCCGAUAUCAGAUUAGGUAGUUGGUAGGGUAAAGCCUACCAAGCCUGCGAUCUGUAGCUGGUCUGAGAGGACGACCAGCCACACUGGAACUGAGACACGGUCCAGACUCCUACGGGAGGCAGCAGUGGGGAAUUUGGACAAUGGGCGCAAGCCUGAUCCAGCAAUGCCGCGUGCAGGACGAAGGCCUUCGGGUUGUAAACUGCUUUGUACGGAGCGAAAAGGUCUCUACUAAUACUAGGGGCUCAUGACGGUACCGUAAGAAUAAGCACCGGCUAACUACGUGCCAGA
rnacentral:rRNA from 1 species